rnacentral:sRNA from 1 species
AACCUGUAUUCCGAACUGUCGCCGGACGGCGGCGUGCCUGGGACACCAGGAUAGGAACGUGGUUGGGA